ensembl:snoRNA
GUAAGCACUCAGAAAUAUUCAUUACUCUCAUAGUGUCCCAUGCCAGAACAAACUGUGUCCUGAACCAUUUCUGGCCCUCUGUGCCUGUAGGCUGUUGGCACUGAAGAAGGUUGCAUAGUG